AGUGAACGCUGGCGGUAGGCCUAACACAUGCAAGUCGAACGGCAGCACAGUAAGAGCUUGCUCUUACGGGUGGCGAGUGGCGGACGGGUGAGGAAUACAUCGGAAUCUACUUUUUCGUGGGGGAUAACGUAGGGAAACUUACGCUAAUACCGCAUACGACCUACGGGUGAAAGCAGGGGAUCUUCGGACCUUGCGCGAUUGAAUGAGCCGAUGUCGGAUUAGCUAGUUGGCGGGGUAAAGGCCCACCAAGGCGACGAUCCGUAGCUGGUCUGAGAGGAUGAUCAGCCACACUGGAACUGAGACACGGUCCAGACCCCGACGGGAGGCAGCAGGGGGGAAUAUUGGACAAUGGGCGCAAGCCUGAUCCAGCCAUACCGCGUGGGUGAAGAAGGCCUUCGGGUUGUAAAGCCCUUUUGUUGGGAAAGAAAAGCAGCAGGCUAAUACCCCGCUGUUCUGACGGUACCCAAAGAAUAAGCACCGGCUAACUUCGUG
rnacentral:rRNA from 1 species